GACGAACGCUGGCGGCGUGCCUAAUACAUGCAAGUCGAACGCUUUUUCUUUCACCGGAGCUUGCUCCACCGAAAGAAAAAGAGUGGCGAACGGGUGAGUAACACGUGGGUAACCUGCCCAUCAGAAGGGGAUAACACUUGGAAACAGGUGCUAAUACCGUAUAACACUAUUUUCCGCAUGGAAGAAAGUUGAAAGGCGCUUUUGCGUCACGUAUGGAUGGACCCGGGGUGCAUUAGCUAGUUGGUGAGGUAACGGCGCACCAAGGCAACGAUGCAUAGCCGACCUGAGAGGGUGAUCGGUCACACUGGGACUGAGACACGGCCCAGACUCCUACGGGAGGCAGCAGUAGGGAAUCUUCGGCAAUGGACGAAAGUCUGACCGAGCAACGCCGCGUGAGUGAAGAAGGUUUUCGGAUCGUAAAACUCUGUUGUUAGAGAAGAACAAGGAUGAGAGUAGAACGUUCAUCCCUUGACGGUAUCUAACCAGAAAGCCACGGCUAACUACGUGCCAGCAGCCGCCGUAA
rnacentral:rRNA from 1 species